GCUAUGGAAUGGUGGAUGGAAACUGCAAGUUAAACUGUGGCAGACAGGGGGCGUUACUCAUCAUUUACCACACAGUUUUUUUAUUGGUACGGACAGAGGCAUUUGCUAUUAUCCAGGACAGCCUAGAAGCUGUUAUAAAUGUGGGUCAACAAGGCAUUUGGCCUAUUGCUGUGAUAAAAUAAAGUGCUCUCAAUGUAACUGUCUGGGCCAUAUGAGAUCAGAAUGCAAGCAGGACGUAAUAUGCAACUUAUGUUCUGUACAAGGUCAUACCUUUAGAGAGUGCCCAGAAGCACACCAUAAUAAGAUAAACGACUGUGUGCUAGAUUUGGAAAGCAUACUUACUGAAGCAAUGGAAGAGUCCAAUACAACUGAGAAACAAGAUACAAAUGAGCCACAGAAAGAUGACAUUACUGAGCCAGAAAACAUCUUAAGGAAAGACGCCAAGGAAAUACAAUCUCCAUUAAAUGUUGAAAAGGGUCCAAUAUUAGAAAAAAACAGUGAAGAAUUUCAGUUGGUGCAAGGAAAGCACAAGAAGAAAUUAAAAUAUUCAGGUACUCGUGAAUCACAAAAACCUCCUCAGAUGCUUUCGUCAUUUGAGAUAACUGCUGGUCGCUAUGCUAUCCUGGAUGAACCUAGUGAAGAUGCCAUGGAGUUUAAACAGAGUGAAGGAUCUCUCUGGAAAAGGCGAUCCACAGAGGAAUUGCAGUUGAUCUGUGAAGAAGAAGCAACUGCCUCUGUUUCAAUAAAACGAUG